AACAAGGACAAGGAGGGGACACCUUCUACGACAGUAACCUCGCUGUGCGGCGGCUCCUUAUUCUUCUUGCUGACAGCACGUGAACCCAUCCACGACAACCUGCAAUCAAAUGAGGAACCUGAUGGCUGCCUCCGCAUCACUCUCCACUGAGGCAUACUGGCUGGGCAUCUCUUCUUCUCACCAUGGUGACAUUGUGUAUGACGAGCUGUAAAGUAUCAACUGGCGUGGGAUGUAAACAAUCUGUGUGCCUGCAAACAAAGGUUCCUGCUUCAAAUCUCUAGAAGUAUUAGCUUUACAUAAUUGGAAUCGAGAACAUGUGACAAAACUAUACUUAACAAUUUUUCACACCGAGAAGAGUAUCUGCUAUCGGCCCUCAUUCCUAAGCUUACCAGUGUUUUUGUAAUUAGGUUCCAUGGUCCUAAAUGGUUGUAGAAAUGUUGCACAAUAGUUUCUUCGAUGUGGAAUGACUUUGUUAGUUGCAUUUUGAGUAAUUUGUGUGCUAAAUAAAAACCAUGCUUUGAGUAUAUGGCCAAAUAAAGGCUAGGGCCUUCUUGGUUCGUGCAGUCUCGCUUGUGAUUGGCUUCAUGAUAUUCUCCUGCAAAUACUUACAUCAAUAUUAUUUACAUCUAGAAACUAAGAUUUAUAAGCAUAUUAAGCAGUACAUAUUGUCUAUUGUAUUGUUGCUUUUUUCCUUGUGUUUUAAUUCGUAUGAUUAGGAGCAACGUGCAAUUUUUUCGGGGAACUUCAUUUGCAACUUGCAGUUGAUCAUGUAUGUUCUUUUUGUGGGGAGAUCAUGUAUGGUUCAUAUAUUUUUUAAUUACACGGUUAAUAUGUGUCUUGAAAGCAUGAAGUACUUAGUCUCAUAUUUUUUGUUGACUAAUAUUGAAAUAAGGAAACUGACAAUGAUGGACCCUCGUGGGAAUCUUUUGCUUCCUUGCCUUGCCGACUUGGGGAAUUGCGGGACAGAAGAGUGUGUAAAAGGCGACAACAGAGCUGGUGGUACAGUGCCAAAGUGGAAAGGCGACAGAUGAGGGAUGAUUUUGUGUCAGGGAAGAGAUGGAGUUGUGGUAUCACCGGAUCUAUGGUCCGAGCCCAUGCAGCCAUCGCCUCCCUAUCUAUGGGUUGAGCUCCAGAUCCCGCCACUUCUCUCCAUCCAUGUCAUCUUCUUUGCGAUAAAGGGUUUGCUUCCUAUAAGUGGAACUGAUCAUUCCACCUGUCCUUGGAUUUUGAUGUUUUGAGCUCUAAUUGUUGUUGUUUUGUGCUUAUGAGUCAGCUUGCCAUUUGUUCUUACGUUUAAAUAUGAAAUGCAGAUAGCAGUAGCUAUAUAUGUACUGAAGUAUAUUGUAACCAUCUAUUUUGGAUUUAUACUCAUUAUUAAGCGACAAUGUAUCCGUACUGAAUGUCUGAAGAUCAUGAUGUUAUGUA